UAGAGGAACCACUGUGAUCAGUAACCGUGAUGUCAAAUUGUACUCUGUAUAUAGAAGGGUAGAUAGUUAUUUGUAAAAUAGGUUUAAAAAAAGAGUUAAGUAUUGAUUAUACCUUGGGAUGAGCAUAGUAGAUCGAUCACAAUGUAUGCAAUAAAAUGGCCUUGAGGAAAUGCUUCUUGUGAAUGGAAUGUUGCAGUCUGAGCAUGCCAUGGUGCAGAAAUGCUGGUCCUCAUUUGUUAAUCUGAGUUGACCAUCUAUGUAGAAUUUCUGGCCCAGUCGAG
rnacentral:lncRNA from 1 species